rnacentral:rRNA from 1 species
AACGAACGCUGGCGGCAGGCCUAACACAUGCAAGUCGAGCGCCCCGCAAGGGGAGCGGCGGACGGGUGAGUAACGCGUGGGAACGUACCCUUUGCUACGGAAUAGCCUCGGGAAACUGGGAGUAAUACCGUAUGUGCCCUUCGGGGGAAAGAUUUAUCGGCAAAGGAUCGGCCCGCGUUGGAUUAGGUAGUUGGUGGGGUAAUGGCCUACCAAGCCGACGAUCCAUAGCUGGUUUGAGAGGAUGAUCAGCCACACUGGGACUGAGACACGGCCCAGACUCCUACGGGAGGCAGCAGUGGGGAAUCUUAGACAAUGGGCGCAAGCCUGAUCUAGCCAUGCCGCGUGAGCGAUGAAGGCCUUAGGGUUGUAAAGCUCUUUCAGUGGGAAGAUAAUGACUGUACCCACAGAAGAAGCCCCGGCUAACUCCGUGCCAGCAGCCGCGGUAAAGUACAGUGU